AUACGGAGGGUCCAAGCGUUAUCCGGAUUCAUUGGGUUUAAAGGGUCCGCAGGCGGGGAAAUAAGUCAGUGGUGAAAGCCUACAGCUCAACUGUAGAACUGCCAUUGAUACUGUUUUUCUUGAGUAUAGAUGAAGUGGGCGGAAUAUAUCAUGUAGCGGUGAAAUGCAUAGAUAUGAUAUAGAACACCGAUUGCGAAGGCAGCUCACUAAACUAUUACUGACGCUCAGGGACGAAAGCGUGGGGAGCGAACAGGAUUAGAUACCCCGGUAGUCC
rnacentral:rRNA from 1 species